rnacentral:rRNA from 1 species
GGGGGCUAGCGUUGCUCGGAAUUACUGGGCGUAAAGCGCACGUAGGCGGCUUCUUAAGUCGGUGGUGAAAUCCUGGAGCUCAACUCCAGAACUGCCUUCGAUACUGGGAAGCUCGAGUCCGGGAGAGGUGAGUGGAACUGCGAGUGUAGAGGUGAAAUUCGUAGAUAUUCGCAAGAACACCAGUGGCGAAGGCGGCUCACUGGCCCGGUACUGACGCUGAGGUGCGAAAGCGUGGGGAGCAAACAGG